rnacentral:lncRNA from 1 species
AUGUAAUGUCCUGAAGAUGUCAAUUAAGUCUAACUUUUCUAUUGUUUCCUUUAGGAUCUCUGUUGCUUUAUUGGUUUUCUGUCUAGAGGAUUGGUCCAUUGCUGUGAGUGGGGUGUUAAAGUCUCCUAGUAUUAUUGUAUUCCCAUCAUUUUCUCCUUUUAUGUCUGUUAAUAUUUGUCAUAUGUAUCUGGAUGCUCCUAUUAUCAGGGGCAUUUAUAUUGAUGAUUGUAACAUCCUCUGCUUGAAUGGAUCCUUUAACCAUUAAAUACUGUCCUUCGUAGUCUUUCCUUAUGGCUGUCCUUUUAAAGUUUAUUUCGUCUGAUAUGAGUAUUGCAACUCCUGCUUUACUGUCAUGUCCACUGGCAUGAAAUAUUUUUUCCCACCCCCUCACUUUCAAUCUACAUGUUUCCUUUGUCCUAAGGUAAGUUUCUUGUAGGCAGCAGAUUGAAAGUUUUUGCUUUUUUAUCCAAUUAGCCACUCUGUGUCUUUUGAUUGGAGUAUUCAGUCCAUUGAUAUUUAAGGUGAUACUCGAUAGAUGAUUAUUUAUUUCCAUUUUAAACCUCAUUUUCCAGUUGCUUCUAUGAUUCUCCAUUCUUCAUUUCUUUUUUUGGUUGGAUGGUCUCCAAUUAUUUUCUGCUUGAGUAUUUUUCAUUUUUUGUGAAUGUAAUGUUUGGUUUUUAUUUGUGCUUGCCCUGUUUGUUAAGUAAGCUAACCCCUUCCUGUAAUUGUUUUAGCCUGAUAGUCCUGUAGGUUCAAACACUUCAUUACCAUAACAAAGUUAAAAAAAAAGAAAAUCAAAAAAAGAAUCUAUUUAUUUCCUUACUUCCCUUGCUCACAUUUUAUGAUUUUGAUGUCUUUUUCUUUUUAAUUUUAUUUUGUUUUAAACAUCUUCAUGAUUAGAUCUGUAUGAUGGCUUAUUUGAGUGACUGCUCUCUGAUUGAGUUCCCGUCGUGGCGCAGUGGUUAAUGAAUCUGACUAGGAACCAUGCGGUUGCCGGUUCGAUCCCUGGCCUUGCUCAGUGGGUUAAGGAUCCGGCGUUGCCGUGAGCUGUGAUGUAGGUUGCAGACGCAGCUAGGAUCCUGCAUUGCUGAGGCUCUGGCGUAGGCGGUGGCUACAGCUCUGAUUAGACCCCUAGCCUGGGAACCUCCAUAUGCCACAGGAGCGGCCCUAGAAA